GGGGAAGCACCUACGGCACCCCUGCGAGACUGGACCUGCGAAAAGCCCCACCACGAUGGGCAGAGGAGGAGCUGGAAAAGUUUGACUCAGCCCUGGCAAGAUCUUCACAGUCUAUGGCCAUAAAGCACAGCCAAAACCGAGCUUAUUCAGCUGAGGACCUGGGAACGAUGGAGACCAAGAGACAGCCCAGGACUAGCGGAGAUGGAGCAGGAUGGAGAAAGCAGGAUUAUCGCCUGGGAUUGCAGCUUGAUCAAAUCAAGGCAAAACGGGGUCUGCACAAACACGGAUGUAUAAAAAGAUGGCAGAAGAGCAUCUGGGGCUUCUCGUACCAAGAAGCUUCCCACUGAGGCAAACACAAACCCUAUCCCACGGUCCAAAAUGCUGCCAGAUCCUCGGAGAAGGUGAUGAUCCCCCUGAGCUGCUGCUGCAAACAUCCCGGGUUUCCAGGCGGACACAGAACGUGCAGGACCAAGCCUCCUGCAGUCAUGGCCAGCCCCGCCACGAGGUGCUUUUAUUUCUCCAUUCCAUGGUUAAACCCAGAUUUUCUCUGUUCUUGCUUGUCACUUUUAUUAGUGUUUCUGCUCCUUUAUUUAUAACUGCAGCCUCGUCUCUCACACCCACGGACACACGUGUCAGCAAGACGCCUCUGUGCCGGGGGCUGAUCAUCCUGGGGAUGCGCCUCAAUCUGCCACUGCGUCCCUGAUCGUCCCUGGGGGCUGAGAAGUUUAGGCAGCAAUGCCAUAAAGCCUUUAACGUCACGCCAGUGUCACCUAGCCGUGGCUUCCCAAGCACGGCAAUAACUCCGAGUGCUUUUCCGCUCUGCCAAGUAACCUGAGUGACUUUCAGCAUCCCCCUCGCUGUCUCCCUGCGGUUGGGCUCCAGCAUACGUACACGCUGUCGGUCAUGCCUGGACUUUAUGAUUUUGCAGCCUGGAGCUGCUCCCCUCCAGGGUGAGCACUUCGCUGGCAGCACCCAGGUGGGUCCUCCUGUAUUUUAGGAGCAUCCAGCCACCGCGGCUCCUGGUGCUGGCUGGGACCGAGCAAAACUCAGUGCAUUGGUGCUGAGUGGUGGAGCUCACUGCAGGGCUGGGGCUGUUGCUGCUGGCCCCCGUGGUGCAGCAUCGGCUCGGUAGCAUGGGAGAGUUUCCUUUAUUAGCCAGCGCACUGAACUUCCCUGUACCCCCCGUGAAGUUCCCAUGAAUCGGAGUGAAAUCAGGGUUUGGCUCCGCGUCAGCCCCUGCACCGCUCCUGGGAGAGAGAAGGGCCUGGGUCUGGUCCCAGCGGAGGGGAUGGAGGCAGCAUCACCAGCACACCUUCACCCUCCCGCCGUGCCGACCGGGGCCGCGGCACCCACCAGCUCUGCAGAUCUGAGCGUGGACAUGGCACCUGGCCCUUUCUCCAGAGAAGGGAAUUUUUUUUUUAAUCAAAACAAAACCAAAAUCCCAACCCCAAACAUGUUUUUAAGGAGAAACAAAGAUUAGAAAUACUGUAAGCGGUGGAGACAAAGCACCAAAAAUAGCAUCCAAAGUUUCCUCUGUGCACUCUCCCUGCAGGCAGCCUGCACUAUAUUUG